CACGUAGGGCGCAAGCGUUGUCCGGAAUUAUUGGGCGUAAAGAGCUCGUAGGUGGUUUGCCACGUCCGCUGUGAAAACCUAGGGCUUAACCCUGGGCUUGCAGUAGAUACGGGCAGACUAGAGGUAGGUAGGGGAGAAUGGAAUUCCCGGUGUAGCGGUGAAAUGCGCAGAUAUCGGGAGGAACACCGGUGGCGAAGGCGGUUCUCUGGGCCUUACCUGACACUGAGGAGCGAAAGCGUGGGGAGCGAACAGG
rnacentral:rRNA from 1 species